rnacentral:rRNA from 1 species
UACGUAGGGUGCAAGCGUUGUCCGGAAUUAUUGGGCGUAAAGAGCUCGUAGGCGGCCUGUCGCGUCGGCUGUGAAAACCCGGGGCUCAACCCCGGGCCUGCAGUCGAUACGGGCAGGCUAGAGUCCGGCAGGGGAGACUGGAAUUCCUGGUGUAGCGGUGAGAUGCGCAGAUAUCAGGAGGAACACCGAUGGCGAAGGCAGGUCUCUGGGCAUUAACUGACGCUGAGGAGCGAAAGCAUGGGGAGCGAACAGG